rnacentral:rRNA from 1 species
UACGUAGGGUGCGAGCGUUAAUCGGAAUUACUGGGCGUAAAGAGUGCGUAGGCGGUUCGUUAUGUCUGCUGUGAAAGCCCCGGGCUUAACCCGGGAAUGGCAGUGGAAACUGGCGGGCUUGAGUGUGGCAGAGGGGGGUGGAAUUCCGCGUGUAGCAGUGAAAUGCGUAGAGAUGCGGAGGAACACCGAUGGCGAAGGCAGCCCCCUGGGUUAACACUGACGCUCAGGCACGAAAGCGUGGGGAGCAAACAGG